rnacentral:rRNA from 1 species
GGAAUCUUAGACAAUGGGGGCAACCCUGAUCUAGCCAUGCCGCGUGAGUGAAGAAGGCCUUAGGGUUGUAAAGCUCUUUCACCUGUGAGGAUAAUGACAGUAGCAGGAUAAGAAGGACCGGCUAACUCCGUGCCAGCCACCGCGGUAAGACGGAGGGUCCUAUCGUUGUUCGGAAUAACUGGGCGUAAAGGGUACGUAGGCGGUUUUGUAAGUUAGAUGUGAAAUCCCAGGGCUCAACCUUGGAACUGCAUUUAAAACUGCAAAACUUGAGAUCGGAAGAGGAAAGCGGAAUUUCUAGUGUAGAGGUGAAAUUCGUAGAUAUUAGAAGGAACAUCAGAGGCGAAGGCGGCUUUCUGGUCCGAUACUGACGCUGAGGUACGAAAGCGUGGGGAGCAAAC